rnacentral:rRNA from 1 species
UCAGGACGAACGCUGGCGGCGUGCCUAACACAUGCAAGUCGAACGGAGAUAUGAUUUCGGUUAUAUCUUAGUGGCGAACGGGUGAGUAACGCGUGAGCAACCUGACUCUUAGAGGGGGAUAACACCCGGAAACGAGUGCUAAUACCGCAUAAGACCACGACAUGGCAUCAUGACGAGGUCAAAGGAGCAAUCCGCUGAGAGAGGGGCUCGCGUCCCAUUAGAUAGAUGGCGGGGUAACGGCCCACCAUGUCAGCGAUGGGUAGCCGAGCUGAGAGGCUGAUCGGCCACACUGGAACUGAGACACGGUCCAGACUCCUACGGGAGGCAGCAGUGGGGAAUAUUGGGCAAUGGGCGCAAGCCUGACCCAGCAACGCCGCGUGAGGGAAGAAGGCUUUCGGGUUGUAAACCUCUGUCCUUGGUGACGAAACAAAUGACGGUAGCCAAGGAGGAAGCCCCGGCUAACUACGUGCCAGCAGCAGC